CGGUCGUACCGGCGGGUAAUCAGCCUUUCGGGUAUGAUUCUGCGGAGCGUGAGGAGUUAAACGCCUUCAUGCCUGCAUAUCCGUGUACUUUGGGUGUACCUGCCUGUGUGGUUAGUUAACAUCAAUUUUGGUUAUCAUAAAAUGGUUGGAGGAAUGGUAGCUUCGAUCUCGUAUUGAAGUGUUAUAGCCUUCGGCAGAUGUGAUGAUCGGAGAUUGGAGGUAUU
rnacentral:rRNA from 1 species